GUUUUCGGGUCAUAUGAUUUCUGUCUAAACCACUCAGUUCUGCACGGGGAGCCAGAGACAGCAUGUGAACGCCGGGCCUGGCCCGGUUCGCUAACGCUUGACAACACGGAGGGCAGGCUGGGCUUGGCUCCGAGGCUAGAGCUGCGGACCCCUGAUCUAGAGCUGCUGACCCCCGACCUACAGCCGCGGACCCCCGAUCUAGAGCCGCUGACCCGGAGCUGGAGCCGCUGACCCCUGAGCUGGAGCCGCUGACCCCUGAGCUGGAGCCGCUGACCCCGGAUCCAGAGCGGCUCCAGUUUCUGUGUUUGUGUUCAUCUGCUUCUGUGGUCCGGGCUUCCUCUUUGCUGCUUCUGUCUUAUAAGAAUUUCCCCUAUUUUCUUGUGAGUUUAAUAAAACAUUUGAAAGUGUCCUUUAGCGAUCUAUGCAGAUCUAGGUGUUUUGGGGUGGCAGAGGGUUUUCUUAUACCUACUUCUCCAUCCUGUUGGAAAUAUAAAUCUGACAUUUUUUUUCCUGUCUCAUUAAUGUCAACCUUCUAUGUCAUUAAGUUUCAGAAGUUCUCCCAUAUAUGGAAUAUAGCUGGAUUUGGCUUUACUUCUCAGUCUCAUGGACCAAGGAGUUCAUUCGUACUUCCUGGAAGGAUUGGGCUGCACAGUUCUGAUAUCUGGCCAUGAAAUCCAAGCUGCUGUUGGGAAGUUGGAGAUUAGAGGCUGAGGCCGUUGCUGGCAUUCCAUCGGAAUACAUGGGGCAAGCUGAUCUGGUCAAGAUGUGUCAUGUGGAUCACAGGAGCUAGAAGAGCAGGUAAUAUCACUACUGAAUAAGUGGGUUUAUCUUUUGUGUAGAAACCAGACAAAUAUUCCAAUCUCCAUAGCAUAUGUGCUUUGUGUUAUUUUCCGUUACAUAGAUGCAAACUGCUGAACCCUCUAGCCUUCCGUAUAAUUCAUAUUUCUGGAGACUCCAGCAAGCCUCUAUCUAAAUAAGUUAGCUGGGAUCAUUUUAAGCACUCUCCCUUCCCUUUUUUAAGGCUUGGGGAAGCUUAGUGUUCAGGACAAGAAAAGGAGAGAUCUUUGCCAUCCUAGACACACAAAGCUCCAGCUCUCUAUCCUAUUGCCAGUUCUUAGAGCAGGAGCUUCUUACUUGAGGGUAUUACUGGAGAGCUAGCCAUUACUCUUGAGAUGACAUUUUACUCUGUCAUGCAAUAUUUGAGUUUGCCUGCUGCAGCCCUUGCUGAAGAGUAAAUAGAGAAGAGGUAUGAUUGCAGACAUCAGGAAAUACCCAUAAGUGUGAUCCCUGACCCUUAUGAAAUUUGAUCAGGAAAAUAUGAAAUGAAAUGCAUAAACCUAAGAACCAGCUCUGUGAAGGAGCAAAUUUGUUAAAAUUUAGUUUCUAAAGACUAGGAAUAAAAUUUUUAAGAUAAAUAUGAAACCAGGGGAGAAGAACAAACAUAUUUUUCUAAAAAAGAAACUGUUUUGAAAAGUCACCCUGGGGAAUCCCUGGGUAGCUCAGCAGUUUAGUGCCUGCCUUCGGCCCAGGGCGUGAUCCUGGAGUCUCGGGAUUGAGUCCCACGUCGGGCUCCCUGCAUGGAGCCUGCUUCUCCCUCUGCCUGUGUCUCUGCCUCUCUCUCUCCUCUGUGUAUUUCAUGAAUAAAUAAAUAAAAUCUUUAAAAAAAGAAAAGUCAUCAUGAAGGUAGUGUCUUUGGGUUUUUUCCAUCAAGAAAAACCAGAGAGAAAAAUUGGGUCCUCUGCAAAUUCUUUUAUUGUCAGUUUCACAAGAAAUAUUUGAUUUCAGGGAACGUGGUUAUGCACACUGAAAUCCGUGUUAACUGCCUUGAAUAGAUAGCAAUGUGGUCAUUUCUAUCUUCAUAUGCAUCAUUUUAUUUUUUGUAAGUAAGCUCUAUGCCAACCUUGGGGCUUGAACUCAUGACCUCAAGAUCAAGAGUCACAUGCUCACUAGCUAAGCCAGCCAGGUGCCCUUCCUCUGCAUCAUUUUAGAUCGUUAUACAUUUCAGUAUACAUGGGAUUAGGUGUGCCUACCUUAACAAGCUUGGAAGACAUGGAGAUAAGUUGGGUAUGAAUGUAACAUUUGUGGGUUUUUUUUUACCUCCCCACUAAUUCAGACUUCUUAAUAAGAUCUGGAUUUCGGAAGGAGAAAUGGACUGUAAUGAUAAUAGAUGCUAUCUUUUUU
rnacentral:lncRNA from 1 species